rnacentral:rRNA from 1 species
CUUAGUCGAAUUUAUUAAGCAAUGCUUAUAUACCGAAAAUGUUUGAUUUUACUAUUGAUUGAUUUAAGUUCUAUUUAAAUCAGGUAGAUUCUAUGAAGAUCAAUAUUAUGUUGUGAAAAAUUAUUCGGUAGCAUUUAUAUCUGUUAAAUAGCUUGUUUUAUAGAAUUAAUGCUCAGGCUAUGAGGUCUGAGCAUUUAAAAUAUUCGUAUAUAUUUAGUUACUAAAAAAGGGUUAAAAUUACCCAAUUUUUAUAAAUGUGUUAUAACUUUUUGAAUUUAAGAUUUAUUGGAAUUUUGUUUAUGGGCUAUUAAAUUUAACAUUUAGACUAUAAUAAUGAUUAAAUAAGUAAUUUUAAUAUAGGUUUUGUUUCUCGUGUUCUGUCUGUCUGUUUAUUAAAAACAUUUCCACCUAGGAAUUAUAGGUGGUAGUACCUGCUCUAUGCUUAAGUAAAUGGCCGCAGUAUCUUGACUGUGCGAAGGUAGCAUAAUUAAUUGCCUUAUAAUUGAAGGCUUGUUUGAAAGGUUUAACAAGAUAGUGACUAACAUGAUCUAUUUAUUUGAAAUUAAUAAUAGGGGCACAGAAUCCCUUAUUUAGUUAAUUAGACGGAAAGACCCCGGGAUCUUUCUAUUUUGUCUGGGGCAGAUUAUAGUGUUUCACUUAUAAAUUAGACCCCUAUUAAGGGGCAUUGGUGUAAGUUACCCCGGGGAUAACAGUGUAAUAGUUUAUUAGAGAUCUUAUCGAAUUAACUGUUUGCCACCUCGAUGUUGACUUAGGUUUAGGCUUGGGCGCAGUAGUUUAAGUCAAGGGUCUGUUCGACCUUAGAAUACCUCCAUGAGUUGAGUUAAGACCGGUGUGA